UCCCUGCCCUUUGUACACACCGCCCGUCGCUACUACCGAUUGAAUGGCUCAGUGAGACCUCCGGACUGGCCCAGAGAGGUGGGCAACUACCACUCAGGGCCGGAAAGUUGUUCAAACUCGGUCAUUUAGAGGAAGUAAAAGUCGUAACAAGGUCUCCGUUGGUGAACCAGCGGAGGGAUCAUUACCGAGUUAUUACUCCAAACCCUUUGUGAACCUUACCUAUGUUCUGUUGCCUCGGCGGGGAGGAAGACCCCUUAAAAAGGGCCCAGCCCCCGCCGGCAGCACCAAACUCUUGCAUUUAUAGCGGAUUACAUUUCUGAAUACAAUACAAAACAAAUCAAAACUUUCAACAACGGAUCUCUUGGUUCUGGCAUCGAUGAAGAACGCAGCGAAAUGCGAUAAGUAAUGUGAAUUGCAGAAUUCAGUGAAUCAUCGAAUCUUUGAACGCACAUUGCGCCCGGCAGUAAUCUGCCGGGCAUGCCUGUCCGAGCGUCAUUUCAACCCUCGAGCCUAGGUUUUUACAAGCCCAAGGAUCGGUGUUGGGGCGCUACGGUUGUCAUCUGAC
rnacentral:rRNA from 1 species